rnacentral:rRNA from 1 species
UACGUAGGGUGCAAGCGUUAUCCGGAAUUAUUGGGCGUAAAGAGCUCGUAGGCGGUUUGUCGCGUCUGCUGUGAAAACCCGAGGCUCAACCUCGGGCCUGCAGUGGGUACGGGCAGACUAGAGUGCGGUAGGGGAGAUUGGAAUUCCUGGUGUAGCGGUGGAAUGCGCAGAUAUCAGGAGGAACACCGAUGGCGAAGGCAGAGCUCUGGGCCGUAACUGACGCUGAGGAGCGAAAGCGUGGGGAGCGAACAGG